CGUCCGUCCUUCACGGCGAAGAUACACGACUCCGGCAAGAUUAAUUAGUUAGAGCUUCUUCCCUGAGCGUGCGUGAGGUUGCUAUUCCCUCGUCAACCUUCUGGCUCUGCUCUCAAGAAAAUGCAAGCUCUGUUCGAAAAGUUAGAGCAUGGUGUUUAUAGUCUGUCGAGAAUGAAGGAAUCAGCUGCAACAAAGUUCAAGUGUUUCCAGAUUCCGGUUGAUUGGAUGCUUGAAACCGGCAUUACUAGUCAGCUAUUUGACUGCACUUUAACUGGAGUAGUGUGAUGAAUGAAGAAGAUAACAGAAACAACAGUAACAACAAUUCUCAUGGUCCCCAUUUUUGAUUCAUCGGCUCUUAACUGAGAUGAAAGGUAUUGUGAAAGAGAGCAGACGCUUAAUCAGCUCUUGACUGAGAUGGAUGGGUUUGAGGGUAACACUGCUGUUAUUGUGGUUGCUGCAAGUUUUUCAUCUUCCCAUUUGAUCAAGGUAUUGUCUUCUUCUCCCCUUCAUCUUCUUUCUCACCUUUUGAGAUAUGGUUCAUGAACAAGGCGUCUUUUGAGUUUAGAUCGAACAUCUGUGUAGACAUGUAAGGAAAUGAAUAUGAUUUGUGCGUUCUUUUGCUCUUUACUGUCAAUUUUAAUGUUUAGGGAAAGAACAUGGAUUCUCGGCUCUAAAUCUAUUAUGUGGAUUAGAUGCUAUGUAAGUUGUUCUAUGCAUUUUGUCUCUAUCAUGAAGCUUCAUCAUUAGGCCAUGUGUUUUCAGUGUUCUGUCUCUUUUCUAAAACAUGUGCGUGAGUGGGAAGGUCUGUUCUGUUUCUAUUUCAUUUGGUGUUCGUAUUUUCUGAGUUUGGUAUUGAUAGGUUAUUGUUGA